rnacentral:misc_RNA from 1 species
GAUGAAGAACGCAGCGAAAUGCGAUAAGUAGUGUGAAUUGCAGAAUUCAGUGAAUCAUCGAAUCUUUGAACGCACAUUGCGCCCUUUGGUAUUCCAAAGGGCAUGCCUGUUCGAGCGUCAUUUGUACCCUCAAGCUUUGCUUGGUGUUGGGUGUUUGUCUCGCCUUUGCGUGUAGACUCGCCUUAAAAUAAUUGGCAGCCGGCGUAUUGAUUUCGGAGCGCAGUACAUCUCGCGCUUUGCACUCAUAACGACAGCGUCCAAAAGUACAUUUUACACUCUUGACCUCGGAUCAGGUAGGGAUACCCGCUGAACUUAAGCAUAUCAAUAAGCGGAGGA